UCUUCCUACUUUCAGAAAAAAAAAAAGAAAGAAAGGGAGGAAUUCUCUCUGGGCGUCCCACCUCCUGCGAUUGGACCGUCGUCCGUCCGUCACCGGCGACUGCCGUGUACGGUAGCCGGACGUGCACAAGUGGCUCAUUUUAACCCUUUGGCCCUCCCCGCCUCGGAUCUGAGUUCAAACACCCAAAAAGGGCACGAUUUUUGAAAGAAAAUGGGAAAACCAUUCGGUUCCCUUCUUUCCGACCACCCAAAAAGGUGUCAGAGGAGCUGGUCGUACGGGCGAUAGGACGGGGGCUGACAUGGGAGGAGCGGCGCACGUAAGGGAGGGGAACCCUAAGGUUCCAAAAAAUGUUGAGUUUUUGAGCUGGGUUUUGAUUUGGGCCGUGUAUGGGUUUAGGUCUAUUUUGUUUGGGUUAAGAGUUGUAAAGUGGGCCCGGUCAAAUUUUGGCCUCUACAGCAAUAUUUCGAAACAAAAUGUUUGGGUUGUAAUUCUUACUGAUACUUGGGAUGUGUGAUAGCCAAUAUUUUAAGACUAAUCCAUUUCAAAGAACUUAUUUUAAA